rnacentral:rRNA from 1 species
GACGAACGCUGGCGGCGUGCUUAACACAUGCAAGUCGAGCGGAAAGGCCACUUCGGUGGUACUCGAGCGGCGAACGGGUGAGUAACACGUGAGUAAUCUGCCCCUGGCUUUGGGAUAGCCACCGGAAACGGUGAUUAAUACCGGAUAUGACCACGUCUCGCAUGGGGUGUGGUGGAAAGUUUUUCGGCCAGGGAUGUGCUCGCGGCCUAUCAGCUUGAUGGUGAGGUAAUGGCUCACCAUGGCUUCGACGGGUAGCCGGCCUGAGAGGGUGACCGGUCACACUGGGACUGAGACACGGCCCAGACUCCUACGGGAGGCAGCAGUGGGGAAUAUUGGACAAUGGGCGGAAGCCUGAUCCAGCAACGCCGCGUGAGGGAUGACGGCCUUCGGGUUGUAAACCUCUUUCAGUACCGACGAAGCGCAAGUGACGGUAGGUACAGAAGAAGCACCGGCCAACUACGUGCCAGCCGCCGCGGUAAUAC